rnacentral:lncRNA from 1 species
UUCGUGUGUACUGGUUUCUUUAAUGCUCAAACAUUAAAGCCCUUCUCUCAUCCCCCCACUUUACACAUGAGGACACGAUGCUGAGGCAGUGGGAUGGCCACCCAGUCUGAAGCAAAGACAUGCACUGUGCCAGCUCUUUAGGUUUGGUCUGGUUUGCUUUGAAUAUCACAAACAGUGAGACAAGCCUGCUGCUCCUUAGAACUUCAGCUGGAGAAGCUCAAUCAUGAAUGCACCCCCUGCAUGAGAACCAACUUUGGAUUUGUAUGUCAGACUAAACCAACACUUCCAUCUUGGAUUUCUUCACAUCUAAGUGCAGUUUGCCACUCUCUGGAAAAUGCUCGGUCUUGGUUUUGCUCGCAGACAGUGGUAAGUAGGGCAAAAAUAAGAUAUGGGGAGGGAGAGAUGAUGACGUGUCUGCUACAGAUGCAUGAGAGCCUGGAUGCCCAGCGUACAUGCACAGAGCCAGGGUUGGCAGUGUGCACCUGUAAUCCCAGAGCUGGGCAAAUAGACAGAAGGAUGAUGGAUCCCUGGGCUUACUCGCCAGCCAGUUUAGAUCAGCCGUGAGCUCUGGGUUCAGCCAGAGCCACCAUCUAAAAGAAACAAGGCAAAGAACAAUUGAAAAGGACACUAGAGAUUGACCUCUGGCCUCCAUAAGCAUACCUGUGGGUCUCCACAGUGUGUUCAUAACAUGAAUGCAUGCACGUGUGCACACACAGUCACAUACACAGAGAUACUCACACACACAUAUAUAGACACAUACAGACACAUGCACAGACACACAAACACACACAUACACACAUAUACAAACACAUACAGACACUCUGAGGUAGGUACUGUCAUCCUCUUUUAAGCACGAGGUGACUUUGACUUUCUCUAGGACACAGCAGACCUAGUUGGUGGUGGAUCCACACGGACUGGCACGUUCCAGAACUUUCUCACGUAAAAGCCUCUGGAAAUCCAAAUAUUUACAGUCCUGCACAGAGAAGAAACUUAAGGUGGUGAACGUAAUGAAUAUCCAGCCCCAUGGAAUUAUAGGAUGGACAGUUUCCCCGGCAGAUUCAACAGUGGUCACGAUAAGAAUAAUCAAUACAAAUUAGGGGACAGGCUUCUGUUUUAAUGCACUUAGUAACCAGAUCUCUCAUCCUCAAAUAAGUCCAACAGAGGACCACGAGCUCCUAAGCGCUGUUGUGUAGGAGUGUGUGUGUGUGUGUGUGUGUGUGUGUGUGUGUGUUCCCUUUCCUCUGAGGGAUUCUAUAACCCCCUUCAUUCUCCGCCUCUCUCAUGUUACAGAAAGGAGGUAAUUUUUCCUGGCCAUUUACUAAAGCUCAUUAAAGACUGACGAGAACAAACAAUGGUACUCCUCAGAGACGACCAUUCAAAGUCACUCUACAAUUCUGGGUUCUAAUACUUGAGACAAAUUAAUUAUUCCUUAGUGAAAAGUAUAUAAUUCCUAUUCUUCAUUUUUGGGGGGCGGGGUGGGGAAUAAUAAUGGGGGGUUUCUAUCUGAGUGAAAAGCUGCCCGUGCUGAAGGGAAAUAAGGAAAAAAAUGUGCGUUCUGAGAGGGAGCCAAAGCAAUUAUUCUGAUAAUAAUUCUAAGAAUAUUAAUGUCUUUUAAAAGUAGAUUGCCUUCAAAUAAACACGGAGGCUGAGGCAAUGGGAGGCUGGUUUAUUUAUUAAUCACUCCAAAUGUGCGUCCUUCUAAAUGAACAACUGCAUGAUCAACUUCGCCACACAUAUUCAAUUUAGCUAAGCAGCAACUGGCAAAUGUCUCAAAACUUUUGUAACCAGAGACUAAUUUGUUUAACACAUUUAAAAUGUUAUAUUGAUGUAAAGCC